UACAGAGGGUGCGAGCGUUAAUCGGAAUUACUGGGCGUAAAGCGCGCGUAGGCGGCUUUGCAAGUCGGGUGUGAAAUCCCCAGGCUUAACCUGGGAACUGCAUUCGAGACUGCAUUGCUAGAGUAUGGGAGAGGGAAGUGGAAUUUCCGGUGUAGCGGUGAAAUGCGUAGAUAUCGGAAGGAACAUCAGUGGCGAAAGCGACUUCCUGGACCAAUACUGACGCUCAUGUGCGAAAGCGUGGGGAGCGAACAGG
rnacentral:rRNA from 1 species